rnacentral:rRNA from 1 species
AUAUUAAUAAGGGGAGGAAAAGAAACUAACAAGGAUUCCCCUAGUAACGGCGAGUGAAGCGGGAGCAGCUCAAUGUGAGAAUCGACUUCCCAAGCGGGACGUCGAAUUGUAUCCUCUCGACGUACAAUCAGCCACGCAGCCGGUACAAGUUCUUUGGAAUGAGACAUCAGAGAGGGUGAGAAUCCCGUCGAUGACUGGCCCCCGCGCGGCGUACGAUGUAUGUUCAUCGAGUCGAGUUGUUUGGGAUUGCAGCUCUAAAUGGGUCGUAAGUUUGAUCUAAAGCUAAAUAAUGGCGAGAGACCGAUAGCGCACAAGUA